rnacentral:rRNA from 1 species
CCCAUAAGAGGGGGGAUAACAUCCGGAAACGGGUGCUAAUACCGCAUAGUUUCUUGAUCGCAUGAUCGGGAAAGGAAAGACGGCCUUUGUGCUGUCGCUUAUGGAUGGACCCGCGGCGUAUUAGUUAGUUGGUGAGGUAACGGCUCACCAAGACGAUGAUACGUAGCCGACCUGAGAGGGUGAUCGGCCACAUUGGGACUGAGACACGGCCCAAACUCCUACGGGAGGCAGCAGUAGGGAAUCUUCCGCAAUGGACGAAAGUCUGACGGAGCAACGCCGCGUGAGUGAAGAAGGUUUUUUCCGGAUCGUAAAACUCUGUUGUCAGAGAAGAACAAGUUGGAGAGUAACUGCUCCAGCCUUGACGGUAUCUGACCAGAAAGCCACGGCUAACUACGUGCCAGCAGCCGC